rnacentral:rRNA from 1 species
GAGUUUGAUCAUGGCUCAGGACGAACGCUGGCGGCGUGCUUAAUACAUGCAAGUCAACGAGAAACAGGGUGCUUGCAUCCUGUGGACAGUGGCGCACGGGUGCGUAACACGUAGGUAAUCUGCCCUUAGGACUGACAUAACUCCGGGAAACCGAAGCUAAUAUCAGAUAAUGCAGCGGCUCGGCAUCGAGACAGUUGUUAAAUCUUCGGAGCCUAAGGAUGAACCUGCGUCCCAUUAGGUAGUUGGUGAGGUAAAUGCUCACCAAGCCUGCGAUGGGUAGCUGGUCUGAGAGGAUGAUCAGCCACACUGGAACUGAGACACGGUCCAGACUCCUACGGGAGGCAGCAGUAAGGAAUAUUGCUCAAUGGGAGAAAUCCUGAAGCAGCAACGCCGCGUGGAGGAUGAAGGCAUAUUUGUUGUAAACU